rnacentral:rRNA from 1 species
UACGUAGGGGGCUAGCGUUGUCCGGAUUUAUUGGGCGUAAAGAGCGUGUAGGCGGCCAGGUAGGUCUGGUGUGAAAACUCGAGGCUUAACCUCGAGAUGUCAUCGGAAACCAUUUGGCUAGAGUCCGGAAGAGGAGAGUGGAAUUCCUGGUGUAGCGGUGAAAUGCGCAGAUAUCAGGAAGAACACCAAUGGCGAAAGCAGCUCUCUGGGACGGUACUGACGCUGAGACGCGAAAGCGUGGGAGCGAACAGG